rnacentral:misc_RNA from 1 species
GAUGAAGAACGUAGCGAAAUGCGAUAAGUAAUGUGAAUUGCAGAAUUCAGUGAAUCAUCGAAUCUUUGAACGCACAUUGCGCCCGCCAGUAUUCUGGCGGGCAUGCCUGUCUGAGCGUCAUUUCAACCCUCAUGCCCCUAGGGCGUGGUGUUGGGGAUCGGCCAAAGCCCGCGAGGGACGGCCGGCCCCUAAAUCUAGUGGCGGACCCGUCGUGGCCUCCUCUGCGAAGUAGUGAUAUUCCGCAUCGGAGAGUGACGAGCCCCUGCCGUUAAACCCCCAACUUUCCAAGGUUGACCUCAGAUCAGGUAGGAAUACCCGCUGAACUUAAGCAUAUCAAUAAGCGGAGGA